CAGGGCAGUGAUUGUGCCUCUACUCAGCACUGGUGAGGCCACACCUCAAAUCCUAUGUCCAAUUUUGGGCCCUUCAUGACACAAAAGACAUGAAGAUAUGCUGGAGCAUGUCUGGAGAAGGGCGAUGGAGCUGGUGAAGGACCAGAAGUUUACUUCUUUGAAAUCUUGAGAUGCUGUGUUGUUAGCAUUCCUCCCUUUGCAAUGAACCAGUUAAUUAUGUUACAGAGCUGAUUUUUGCCAUUCUGUUCUUUGUUCAUGUUUCCUGUACUUUGUUUUCAUUACACAGGGACAGUCUGUGCCUGCUGGGAUGGUGAAUCAGCAUAAAGCUCCAGGAAGGCAACAUGAGCUUUAGAAUACAUCUCCCCCAGCCCCUCUACAGUAAAUUCCCUGGUGCUGGGAUGAUCACCUUGUGAUGGCAGAUGGUUAUUCCUGCUCCCUUCCAGAAGCACACCUCAUACCAAUACACAUUGUUAUUGCUUUUCUUAUUUAUUGCUUAUGCUGUACUCUAAGGGUUUUGUUUCUUUAUGAUGCCUAGGGGUGGAAAAGCACUUGCUCUCAAUGUGCAUCUAAGGGGUAGUUGUGCCUGACUCUGUGGUGUCUGUAGGCAAGAGGGCAGUGGUUAUUUUCUGCAGUCCUUAAUUCCCCUGCAGCUUUUAUCUCAGAUUAAUCAGAGCAUUUGAAUGAGUAGUUUUCCUUUGAUGUGGUUUAUUGUCCUCUCUCACAUUUAUUUUAUUUCAUUUGUUUUAUUUUUCAGUAUAUAUUUUUUUUCUAUAUUUUUCAGCUGAGAAAUAAUUAGUUCCCUGUUUCCUCGUCUCUCUCCACCUAGGGGUAUUUGGUGCUUGUGUGUUCCUUUCUCCUUGUCUUUCUCUGUUGUAAUUGGCUGUUUAAUUUUGUUUCCUUUUCAUGGUUCUCUUAUUAUGUCCUCUGAUAGGUGCAUAUCUGUGUUUAAUUGGUCUUUGUGUCUUAUUGAUCUGGUUUCAGAUUUAAACUUGAUGUCCAUCUUUUAAACAUCAGACCAAUUAAUAUGGAAUAUGUUUUCGUAUUUUUCCAUGCUAAAUCAUUUUGCUGAUUUUACAGUGACCCAGGUUUGCAGACUAUGUGCUGAUAGCUGCUUUUGUCCUUCACUUUAGACUCCAUCAAGUUCAGUUUCAAUACUUGGUUUUUCUAAUACAGUUGCAAACCCAGAAUCAACCAUGAAAAUCUCCAUGAUUUUUAGAAUACUGUUGUGAAAAUGGUGUUACUUGUGUCUUGUUAGCUUUCAGAAAUUACUCUUUUUUACACAGCUUUUUUAGACAUGACAGUAUCUUAAGUCCAAAAUCUCACCAUUCUCAAAAAACAGUCAUGCAUAAACUUAAUUUUCAAAUUAGAUGAAAGUCUUGGGAAGAAAGUACUGCAUCUCCCAUGAAAUCUAGAUAAUUACGCAAUGUGUAUAGGCACACCCCAAAGCUUACGGGUUGGUAUCGCUCACAAAUUAUUUGCUUGUAGCACAACCGAGAAAACUUUAGUGACUAUUUUGUCACCCUGCCAUACUGUAAUGGUCAAAUGAUUUGUUCUGAGAACCAAUCACUUAAGAGAUUAAGGCAAAGCCAAGAAUGAUCUCUCUUGGCUGUAUAAUGGGAUACCAGUAAUGUAACUGGGGAAAGUAGGAAGUGUUCAGGACUAAAUCCUAUUAGGAGACAGCUAAGCCUAAUUAGAAGAAAUGUGGAUUCAGUUAGAGAUGAUUAAGGUGCUUAGUCUUUGCAUUAUAAGUCAUCAGUCUUUAUGUGUGAUUGUCUUCCUGUAAAUCAUAAAGCAAUUUAUUUUAGCCUUGUAAGGAUAUGAUUUUUGCAGGCAUUUUGAAAGCAUUUGCACACAAGAAAUAGUAAAGGCUUAGCUUCCAUUAUGAUAAAUAGAAUAGUCAUGAAAGAAUCAUUAUUUUCAUGGCAAUGUACUGGAAAAAUAACACAGAUUAGAACAAAAACAAACAAGAGAUAAUGAAAAUAAGAAUGUUUCUUGUUCUAAUUUAGUUGUUAAGGAUGAAUCCUCCAUCCUGGCUGCCUGACUUCUGGAUGAUGCUGAUGGAAAGGAGAAAACCAUUAUGCUUUCAGAAAAUAUAAAAGUAAAUACGAAAGCUGAAACUCCCUCUGCUUUCCAGUGCAGGUGUAUAAACUUCCAGGUGGUUUGAAGGAAAUUACUUGGAGAGUUCAGGGAACUGCUAUGUGAAAUUAAAGUAAAUGUAAAAUGCUGGUAUGAAAGGCCCUGGGUGAAGCCUGGGGAGCAGGCACACAGUUCUCUGGGCAGUAGUUGAUGUCACUUCCAAUGGUAGGCACCCCUCCACUUGUAUUUUCCUCUUUGUUCUUCAUUGGACCCAUAGGUCUUUUGCCCUCAUUAUAGUCAAAUAGAUGCAGACCUAUUCAAAGUCAACCCUUAUAGUAUUGUGGGAUCGAUCUAAUUCUCAGAGAAAGGUAACAUUUCUUAUAAACCACAACUCUCUCCAUCUCCAUUGAAUAUCAAAUCACCCAGGGUCCUUGGAAACUAUUACAAGAAUUUCCCAGACGGGUUACUUGACUGGAAUAAUUGUGAAGUCACUUAGUGGCACUGUUGUCUUUUGUGUCCUGCCAGUCUGAGGGAGCUGAUGCAUCUUGGAUGAAGUGUUCACUUAAGUUUCCACUUCAUGCCUGAGUUUUCACCCAGUAUUUGAUUAACAUUCUUCCUUCAGAGAAGAUCCUCAUUCCAAUGCAAAAUAUCAUUAUUAUAUGUAAUUCACUUUAAAACUCUACUUCGAUUUAUGCCAGCAUUUUUCCCCUUAUCCUUAGCUGCUCUCCUCCCGGUAAAGCCAAGUUAUACGUGCAUCAACCAUGAGGUGGCAGUACAAGGACUUGAUACGCUGAAUUUUGGUGGUGUUCGUAGCAUUGGGAUAUUAGCUAAGGAAAAAUAUUUACAGUGUUUCUGCAGUUUGGCUUUCUCCGCCAGGGUGUAAUACGUGCUCCACAUCUGCAUAAUUGACUUCAUGCAAAAGCCAGGGGAGACGAAGCUGAUUUUCUGAAUCAAUGAUUGAAGCCUUUUAUGUGGCUAAUAAUUGAUAUCUUUAUUUAAGUGGCUCGGUAGUGGAUGAGAGAUGUUAUUCAAGGAACUCAGCUGCCGUUAAAAGAAAAUAUCUUAAGAAAGGGGAUACACUGGUGACAUACAGCUGUCCUGCUGUGAGUUUUCUCCUGGCUUUAACUUCUGACCUUCCUAAAGCCCAAUAAAACCUGAACACCUCAUGUGUGUGGAACUCCCAGAUGCAUUGCUUCACAACAUUAAAGUCUGCCUUUUCAUCCAGGUUUUUGAUUCACUUCUCAGCAUGGCUGUUUUUUUGCCUUACAAGAACAUUCAACACUGGUGUCAGGUGGAAAUAGUUAACUUCCAGUCUUUUUCAUCCUUUCUUCUCAUUUUCAGGCAUUAGAGAAAGUAAUGACAUCCUGUGCUUUCAAGGACUAGUUUUCCACCCACUGUAAUGGAGAAGGUAUUUUAAGACAUUUUCUAUUUUGACACUAUCUCUUUCAGUAGCAGUCAGUGCUGCAGCUUUUCAGAAGGUGGAGUUCUCUGUUUCCUCAUUCAGACAGACUAAAAAGCUUCUAGCAUAAGAAAUGAAUUGUGGACUUGGCAGAUGUCUCAUAUCACUAUAUUCACCACAGUGUUUAUUUGAACAUAGAGAAAUUACAGACAUGCAUUUUUGUUACUUCACAUGAAAGUACCAACAGCAAGCUGUCUUUUCCUGACAUGGAAACAGUUUUUCUCUGAGUACUUUAUGGGAAAUCCUACUUUCAAUCAGACAAUGCACUGUGAAGUCUGUUAGCAAAUAUGUCUUUCAGGUACAUGCAAGUUUGUGGUUUAGUAAAUAAAUAGCAGUGUAAGGAGAUGAACAUACUAGGAAGCCUUGAAAGAGCAAAUAACUUUUUGAGAAGGCAACUUCCCUAAGAAAGAUUUGAGAUAAAAUUCUGUCUGUGAGUUGGGUAUUCAGUCUGUCAGAAGUGCUGGGACUGCCUUGUAUUUCAAAUAACACAAAGCUCUUCUGCACAGGCAAUGAUUGCCCCUACUUUGCUGGACCAGGGGCACUGGCACAUGUGUGCCCUUGUCCCCUCAGAAUUCAAGAUUCACAUCUAUUAAAGCUUGAAGGAAAGCUGAUUGGGCUGAUUUACCCUCUGCACAAUGAUGACCAUGGGAUUUAACAGGUGACAGAAAUUGCAGAAAGGGAGACCUGUAGUUGGCAGGAGCAGAUACACCACAGCCCAGGUGCCUUUCAAAAGGAUCUCUAACCCUAUCUGUUAACAUCAAGCAGCCUGCUUAGACAGUUGAUAAACAAACUUUGUCUUCAGAGCUGAUAACAACAGAUUUCUCCUGAGAAAACAUGCAGGAUCCCCAAAGCCUCUUCUUGAGGUUGUUUGCAUGCACAUCUCAGCUUUCUUGCUCAGAUACUCGACAGCCUCAGGCCAUACUCCUGGCAGGUUACAUAAGAAAAACCUUUGAGAAUCUGUCUGAUGAUUGAAGAAAUGUGAGCUUUGGGGGACAUGAUGUCUUAGGAACUGGAUGGCUACUGCUUUUUCCUUGCAGCUUUCCCCAGUUACAAUCACCAGCUUGUGAGCAAGAUGCUAGGCAUAGAGAUUCCAAUGGCAGCCAUUUUUCAGAGAUAAGAAGUAACUGGUUGUACCAGCAGAAGGAUAACUCAACUCAGUAUUGAGUUGAUAGGAUAAUAUUUCUGUCCACCUAAAUUGUUCUGUGGUGUUAAAUAAUUUCACACUUUUAUUAAUCCAUGGGUUUUGGACAUUACCCUGACAAUAUGAUUGUACAGAAUAACAUGUGCCUCUGGGAAGGGAGAAUUUGAAAGGGAAAAGAGAAACAGAAUGUGACCACUAGCCUGAAAGUACAGUACUAAGGAGAGGGACUACACACCAUGUAUUUUUAUUCCAGAAAAAUUAUGACAGCGCUGUGUUUUCUCUUAUCAUGUAGCUUGUUUUUCUCAUAUUUAUCCUGAAAUGGAUACUGAACAUUUGUUGUAUUGCUCUUGUGAUGCUGAUUUAAACUGUUUAGUAUAUACUUCAGCCAAAGAAACGGAACCUUGGAACCUGAUGACCAAUUAAGCAAGACAUGAAAUGACGUUCCUGACAUAGACAACACUGUCAGUGUUCAUUCUGGGUUGGUCAGGAAAGGGAAUGAAAUCCUGAAAUCAGAAGACAAAGUCUAACAAAUGCUCUGGAAAGGAGAUAUGAUACAUUAAAAUGCAAUGGAAAAAACCCACAAAAUCUGGAAAUUGAGUGACUGCAAAUGGAGUGAGAUGAAAUGAGGGGCAGUGAAAAGGACCAAAACUGCAUAUUUAAUCCAAUUGAAAUCCUGACAAUGGGGAAGAAAGGUAUUGCAGUUGUCAAGACAGACACGACUGACACCAUCACCAGUCCCAUAUUAAAAACUUAUCAUUUCUUCGCUCAAGCUCCAACUGCAUCUUACUCUAUCCCACUCUUCUGUAACACCCAUCCUCAUUGGGCAGGUAAGGCUGUUUCCACAUCUCGGCAAUCAACUACUUACAAAGAGUGAGGAGAAAGUUUCCUUCAUUCCGGAAAGGGAAAUAAAUCUUGUGAUUUCAAUGAGGAUUAUUUGGGCAAGCUUCGGUCCAGUUCCCUGCACUUCUUCUUGUGCCACUCACUUUUAGUUUUUCACUUGGCUUCGGAAUUUCCCCUUUUUUCUUUUAGUAUUUCAUUUCCUUAGUGUUUUCUGUACACUCUUUGUUUACCUUUCUUCUGUGAUUUCAGGAUUUUAUUUGAAGUAAUUUUGUCAAGUUAUGCUCUUUUAAACUGCCCUUCAUUUCGUCAAAGUCUAUUUUGUUAUAUUCACCCGAGUUCCUAAUUUUCUAGGUUUUUUUUCUUUGUAUCUCCUUUCCAGAGUGUUUGUUAGACUUUGUUCUCUGAUUUCAAGAAAGGGAAUGAAAUCUUGUAAAUUCAAUGAGGAUUAUUUAGGCAAGCUUUGGUCCAUUUCCCUGCACUUCUGUCAUCCCAUUCACUUCUAGUGUUUUCACUUUUGGAAUUUUCCCAUAUUUUUUUUUUCAGCCUUUCAUAUCCUUAGAGUCUUCUCCUCGCUCUUUGUUUACCUUUCUUCCGCAAUGUAAGGAUUUUAAUUGGAUUAAAGUUUCACAUUUCCCCAGCAUGUCACAGACUUCUUCAAAUUCCUGAUUAGGCAAACUGCAAAUACCAAUAAAAGAUAGAGAAAAAUGUUUGUUUUUCACAAUAGAGGGGGAUUACCAACUGGAAUCCUUUACAGAUCAACGUUAAGAUCAGUGCUGUUUGAAAUACCUAUAAACAAUGUGGGCAAGUAGUUGGUUAGUGAAUGGUUGUUGAGGAGGGGAUGUUAUCAGCUCCCAAUGACAUGGUACUCAAACCUAAUCAGGUUCAGAUGUUUGCUGUGUAUUGAGAUCCUAAAUAAAUUUCUAAAGCAGGAUUCACUAAGAGAAAAUACAGGAUGUCUGGGGGUGCCAGGUGUCUCAGAAAGGGUGGGCUUUAUUUUGUCUUUCCUGAAAAGUGCCUACCUUCACCUGCAGCUCUCGGUAUGAGCCUGUUCCUAAAUAUCACCCCUCACCCUUAAGAGGCAGCUAUUACAAUGUCCACAAGGUUUAGCUGCAUUCCAGCUGGGGCUAUUAACACUGCAAGGACACAUCAGCACUUCUGUGUGACACUGGUAAAAAUAGCCGAGAAUCUUGAACUUUAUAAGAAGCAGUGGCUUUUGUUGGCUGUGAGCUUCAGGGAGAGUAUGGGUGAAGUGUCUGUCAACCCAGAAGUGUUGUUUUAGCUGUGAAAUUACAAUGUUGGGCAGGCCAGACCAGCAGAGACGGAAGAGCAGUCUGAAAUACCAGCUUCUCCAUGGUGAUUCAAUCCAUGCCAGGAGUGAACUGGAUGCAGUGUCUGCUAAAGCCCCUUAGAUCAGCUCAAUGCUCAUUCUCAUUAUAAGCUGAAAGUAAGUCUGUGGUCUCCAGAGAUGUUAAGUAGUGGUGUUUGUACCAUUACUUGCCUUCACUUUGCCAAUCCAUCCCUGUGCAUCAGCUGCAGGCUGGGAGAUGCCUGUGGAAAUUGAAGCUGCUUAGUUGUGAUUUGGGUAAUGGAGACUUAGAAAUUUCCUCAACCUAUUGAAAUGGACCUAGCAAUGGCCAGUCUUCCGUAUUUCUGCGGGAUUCCAGUGACCUGAAAACCAGGCAAACAAUAGCCCUGUAUGUCCCUGUCUACAAUUGCUUAAUUAUCCUUGCAAAUAAGGAGAGUGAGGGUUCCUCAAUCCUAUGUGUAUCUUGGCAUUAUGGCUAACAAUGGGAUAUUAUUAGUUAUUUACAUUGCUUAAUGUUAAACAAGAGAAGCUAUUCCAGAGACCAGGGUAACUCUUGGCUGCCAAAUAGAAGGGAAAAAGUCCAGGUGCAGCUGUGUAAGCACUUUAAAUUUUUGUAUGUGUGUGAACCUGAAAUAACCCUGAAGAAUUCAUUACUCAAUCUUUAUCAUGGGCACACAAACAAACACAUCUUCUAUAAAUAGCAGUUUUGGUAGCAUGGUUAAGGAGCCUCUUGCGUGUGUGGCCUUGAUAUUGUGUUUAUGUACAACCAAUGGAUCGUUAUUAAUAUUUAUUAUUGCUAUAUAACCCAUACUAUAUAUUACUAUAUGACCUAUGAUUAUAUAACAGAUUGUACUAUAUAUGCAUAGAGACAUGUACAUUAAUACAGCCCUGUAGUUCUGUUAAAGUUCACAGAAACUCAUAUGAAGAGGGAAGAGCAGAGCACAGGGAAGUCACCCCGGCUACAACCAAUGCAAGCUGGCUCUUGCUAUCUGUUUUCCACAGAAUCAGAUCAUUGCCUGCUGACAUUUGUUGGGUCAAAUGCAUCUGAGCAAAGAGGAAGAGCAGAAGUAACUUCAGAAGCCAACUUUUAAAAAUAAAUCAAACCAAAAGACCCAGAAGUGUGGUCCCUACACUAAGCAGAGGCAGCUUUGGCAGCUUCUUUGAUGAUACUUUGAGUGCUACAGAAAGUUCAGUAAUCCACAGCAACUGUUGGUUACCUCCAAACUAUAUUGAGAUGUUUACUAGGGUCCUCCUUUUUACCUUUUGUGACUUACUGCAUUUGGUUCUUUGGAGCUUCCCACCCCAUAUCUCCUGUCACAAACGCCUCAGAAAAGCUCUCUCUUCCUAGCUGCAGCAAAUGGAGAUGCUCAGAGCCACAUGCCCUCCACAAGGUAUUGUUUCAGCUUGAGCUGUUGACAAGUCCUGGGAACCAGCAAGUUCAGAGCUGGAGAACAGAAAGAGUGCAUAACAGCCUAGUCAAAAAACCUCCAAACCCAACAUUUAAACCCGAAGGGAAAUCUUUCUGUUCACUGUACUCCCUUGCCUGAAUGCCUCAGUAAAACAGCAUUUUUGUCUCAGGGCAUAAAAGGUACCCCCUGCUUUCUUCUUGAAGCCCAGUUUCAGUGUUGAUGUGACAGGUGGAGCAAGGCAGAAUCACAGAAUACAUUGAGAAGUGGUCAGGAUAAAAAAGAUUUCAAUGCAGCCAUUCAAAGGUAAGUGAUAAAUUCAUUAAAUGCAAUCAGAAUUAUUACACUAUCAAUCAGUUACAAAAGCUUUAGUGAGACAUCAGCUCAAGAAAAUGUGCAGCAGUACUUAGAAAGGUGGUGAGUCAUUAGCCAUGAGUUUUACCUGUUCUCCGUGUGCUGCAUGAUAUACAUGUUUUAUCACAGUGGCAUUUCUGCUUCAUUUAUUUUAUUUGAAGCAGAUAAGUCACUGUAUUUUACAGGCAGCAGGUUUUUUUCAUAAGACAGCAAUUUAACAGUAAAAAGCUUUUUCACUUUUUGCACUCCACUCACUCUUUCCAGUUUACAUAGAGGUUUUCACAUCAGCAUUUUGAAAUUAUUUAUUAUUUUUGUUGUCUGCCUGGCACAUUAUAGUGUGGCCCUUUAGUGCUUGCCUAAAGGACAUGACCACUAUGUGUAAACACUGGCAGGGGGAAAGACCAAGGGGGGGAGGGUUUAACUGGAGAAAUGCAGAUGUUGUGUCACCGUGUUAGCCAUGACGUGAAAAGCGGCAGCAGGACAGGUCCAGGAGCCCUGGAAAGCCUCCCCAGGGGAUUACUGUAGCCCAAGCAAUUGCCACUGGCUCAGCUGAGACCCCUCAGGACUCACUGGAGGCUCCUGCAGCUGGGCAGCUGCUCAGUCAUCUGGGGAUGUGGCCACCCUGCUCGUUCCCACCCUGGUGGGAGGCUCCUGCUCCAGGGCUGCAGUCCUGGGAAGCUGGAUGGCUAUUUCUAAUCAGUCUGUAUUCAGGACUUCCACAUGCUGCACAAACAGAGGCCCAAGUCCCUUUUUCAUAUUUUUUCUUUAUUUUUUCUUCUCAUAAAAGUUGAGUUAUACCAGGAAUUAAUUUACCUUUGGCAUGUAUAAUUUCCACUGUGUUUACAAUGGGUUUCCUUUGUGCUCAGCAGCUUGAUUUUUGUUUAGCUGUUUAAUAUUACCUGAUCUUUUGCACAGUGAUGGGUGAUUAAUCUUUAGCUGUCAUAUUUUUAAGCAGAUCCUACACAGUAUGAAUUCAAAAGUCUGCACUUCCCAUUCUCUCUCAGUAGCCUGGGCACAUAUUAAAUUUCAUUUCUUUUUACAUAUGUUAGGGUGAAUUAUGGACUAUUACUCAAACUAAAUUGUUCUUUGAUGUCAGUUCAGCAUAUGAAUGGCCAGUUGUAAUUAUACCAAGUUAUAACAGAACUUAGUGUUAUUGUGCCUAGUCCAAAGUAAUUCUGUGUUUCUUUUAAAUAGAAUCAAAUCAGCAAUUUUCCAUUGUUUAUGAGCUCAAUGCAACCAUUAUGAAAUACUUUUUUUUCCUUUGUAGAUUUGAGCUACAAAUGCAAGUGUCAUGUAAAUGGCAUUGACAGAGGCAGAGGAAAGGUGAUCCUUUCUAGUGUGCCAUCUCUGAUUUCCAUUUCCCUUCAAAGGGCCCAGCCACUGGAAACAAGAGCAUGUUCCAACAGCAGCAUCUCUGUUUCCCCACAGAAUCUCAAUUGCUGAACACCAUCCAAUAGCCCUGUCACAGAGGAAUUUCACCUAUCAAAGGUGGUAUAUGAUAAAAAGGAGUAAGUAUUUGGUUAAAAGUGUGUUUACACCAUCAGGCUUUAAAAAACAUAAAUUUAUGAUUCUUUUUACAGCUGGAAUAGGAGUGCUUGCACAUGCAACUGCAGGUAUUAGUUUUUAACCUUUGAUGGGUAUACAUUGAUUUUACUCUCAUAAUUCUUGUUUUACUUGGAUGCCUUCUUAUCAGAAUCAGGGGCCCUACAAGAUUCCAAAACAAUGUUCUUACUUUGUAAUGUGGUAGCCUGUCAGAUUUGAUUUCCUAAAUAUGUUUCAAGUUACAUCCACACCCUAAAUGCUUUUAAAACUUUAAAAAUUUAAUUCCAUUAUUUCAAGGCUGCUAACCUUGAUGUCAAAAUACUCUUGGCUCCAGUUUAUGUUAACUAAAUCUGCUUUAUGUUACAAAGUCUCCUCCUGCUAAAUUCCUGGAAAAGUGAUUAAUAUGUUGGUGAUUAGGAAAGCACACGAGUCUACCCUUAGGAUUUACAAGAAGGGGUGGGGCUAUUAAAAUUUUUAACCAAAAGGAUUUAAUGAGGAUCACAGAAAGAUUUGAGUUGGAAGAGACCUUUUAAAAGCCAUCUAGUCCAAUCCCACUGCAGCAAGGGGAGAUAUCUUCAACUAGAUCAGAUUGUUGCGAGUCCCAUGCAACCUGGCCUUGAGUGUUUCCUGGGAUGAGGCAUGAGUAGGAAGCCAUUAUCUCUGAAAAUUUGCUAUUCAGCAGUACAGGAAUUCUGAUUGAUUACUCCUGGCAAAUUGCUCCUGGAAGAAUUAUGUUACAUCUUCAUGGAAGAACCUGGACUGCCUGAUCCCUCCUACCUGGAAGCAUGUGGUCCUGCUGUGUUUUGUUACCUUGAGCCUAAAUACUUGUGGCACCAUCUAUGGAAGAGUGAUUGGCUGGUCCUAGGGAGGGGACACGCUGUUGUGUGCUCUGCAGGAGGUGCAGGUCUGGGACUUAAGUCAAAUGGCUUUGAGCAAGAGAAGACUUGAAAAGGAUGACUUGUCCUCUGAAGGAAAGAGGAAGGGAGAAGCCCUUUCCAGAGUACUAUUAAAGGUUGAGACCGACUCUCCUGGCUCACUGCAUGAAUGCAGCACAAUGGCCUAGCAUGGCAGGCAUGCAUGCAAACACUGGAGACUUUUUUCCUGGAGUGCUUCUCUUCUGAUCAGCUAACAUCAGGUUUUAUGGAAUCUGGCUCGCUAUCAUUCCUUGAAAGCCUUAACCUGAAGGUGUGGCAUCACAGUCUGGCCAGUGAUCUGACUGCCUGGAGACCUGUGACGGGACUUGGCAACCUCACUGAAAACUACUUGAUAUCAAUCAAUUGCAGGAAAUAAUAGCAAGAAAGAAGAUAUCUAAGAGAUCCAGUUACUGUCAUUGUAGUCUUGAUUUCUCCUGCGGAUGGCAGCAAGAGUCUCCCUCCUCUGAAGAGUAAGGUGCCCAUGAGGUCACACGUGUUAGUCAUGGUCAAGUCUGGUGACAUGCCCAAGCAAAAUGGGCAGGGGUGUCUGCAGGCAGAGCCUCUGCCUGUCCCUGGCUGUGUGUGCCUGCCCUGGUGAAUGCCACACAUGCCUGAGACCCAGGCAAGCUGGCUGUAGAGCUAUAGGCUCAAAGAAACCUCAGCAAAGGAGAAAAUACAGAAGGAGACGUCAGAUAAAUGCCAGAAUUAAUGUAAAGGGAGUCAGAAGGAAAGUAUAGUCAUGAGGGAGGAAAAGCAACCAUUUCAGUUGGUUUAAACUAAUACAAAACCACA